UACGAAAGGGGCUAGCGGUGUUCGGAAUUACUGGGCGUAAAGCGCACGUAGGCGGCCUUGUAAGUUGGGGGUGAAAUCCCGGAGCUCAACUCCGGAACUGCCUUCAAAACUACAAAGCUAGAGGAUGUGAGAGGAUAGUGGAAUUCCGAGUGUAGAGGUGAAAUUCGUAGAUAUUCGGAAGGACACCGGUGUCGAAGGCGACUGUCUGGCACAUUUCUGACGCUGAGGUGCGAAAGCGUGGGGAGCAAACAGG
rnacentral:rRNA from 1 species